UGCGCGGUGCCUGAGAGUUGCCGAAAGGCCGGUCAAAGGGUGACGCCGCUACAGUCUUUCCAGUGGGGCGCGCGCCCAAUACUGGGGAGGCCCUGGGUUCGAAUCCCAGCCGCGCAACCA
rnacentral:tRNA from 1 species